GACUAGCUCAGUUGGUUAGAGUGUGGUGCUGAUAAUGCCAAGGUUGCAGGUUCAAUCCCUGUUAAGGGACA